rnacentral:rRNA from 1 species
UACGUGAGGCGCGAGCGUUGUCCGGAAUUAUUGGGCGUAAAGGGCGCGUAGGCGGCCAUUCAAGUGACGGGUGAAAGCCCUCGGCUUAACCGAGGAACUGCCUGUCAGACUGGAUGGCUUGAGACCGGGAGAGGUGAGUGGAAUUCCCAGUGUAGCGGUGAAAUGCGUAGAUAUUGGGAGGAACACCAGUGGCGAAGGCGGCUCACUGGACCGGAACUGACGCUGAGGCGCGAAAGCGUGGGGAGCAAACAGG